UUUCAACCGUGUUCGAGGUAACAUCGUGUCGACGGAUAACGUGGAAAAGUGACGCGAAUUUGCUCUCUUGUGGGAAUUUUUAUACGCUGAGAGGAACUCUCUCGCCGGAGAGAAGAAAAAACACCGAAAUAAAAGUAAAGGGAAACAAAAAUAGUUAUCGGUACGCCGCGUGUGUUUGUUUGUGUGUUUGAAUGUGAUGAUUAUUCUCCUCAUUGUGAGUUAAACAAGUGGAAAAGGAAAAAUUCAGAAAAAAAAUUAAAGUUAUACAGAUGUGUGUAUGUAUGGAUACAUACAUGCAUGAAUAAAGUUGGAUACGGAGAAUAAGAAGAAGAGAAGAAGCAGAAGAGCAAAAAGUUAUCUCUUACGGCGGUGGUACAACUCUACAUCUCUCUCCUAAAAAAUAAACAACAUUUUGUAAAAAUGUUUGACAUAUCAUUGCAGUUUUGACAAAUUAUUUAAAUCAACAACCAACCAAUACAACAACAACAAACUUCCAAUAAAAAUCAUGACCAAUUUAUCAAAGACUUAACGUAUAACCCAAAAACAAACUUAGUUUUUAAUAAAUCAAACAAAACUCCAAAUAACAAAGAGUGGCUCUCUUUCGCUCUAUUCAUCUCUCACCAAGCAACUCCCCAAAACAAAAAAUCACAACAACAGCAAUCGAAGAUAACAAAAGCAGAAAUUAAAAUACGCACAACAACUAUUUGUGGUGGGGUCUGUCUCUUGCUCUCCACAGUUGAUUUUUGUUAUUCUUUUUUUGUGUUUUAUUACACCCAAACCAGUUUGUUGUAAGCUGUGUCUGUGUCCGUCUCUCUCGCCUCCCCGUGUGUCCCUGUCUCUUCAUAAUUUGUGCUACGUGAAUAAAGUAAAGUGUCUCUCUCUGUGUGUAAACGUGUUUGUGUGCAAUGCCCCACUGUUAAAGUAAUAAAUAUUUUAACUGGAUACCACCUCCUACACCGAUUUCCACCCUCCCGGCCUAGAGCGGUGUUUUUGCAAAUAAAUUGAGAAAAAAAAAUAACAAAUAAUAACAACAAACACAAAACCCCUCAACAAACAACAACAACAAUCAUCAUCAUCAUUAGCAUCCAGAGAAAAAUUAUUGUCGAUUUAUGUGUGGAAGCGAAUAUAAGAAAUUAUUAACAACAAAACAGCAAAAAAAUGUUAAUAAAUAAACAUUAUUUAAAUGACUUGAAGUCUUCAAAAAUGUUGGCCGCCAACAACACCGCCAUCACCAUUACCGCCAUCUCUACCACCACCGAUUGCCCCACCAACAGCAGCCGCUCUUCUACGAACAAACAUAAAACCAAUAGCAAAAA
rnacentral:sRNA from 1 species